AGAGUUUGAUCAUGGCUCAGAGUGAACGCUGGCGGCGUGCUUAACACAUGCAAGUCGAACGAUGAAGCUCUAGCUUGCUAGAGUGGAUUAGUGGCGCACGGGUGAGUAAUGUAUAGCUAAUGUGCCCCUUAGAGGGGGAUAACAGUUGGAAACGACUGCUAAUACCCCAUACUCCUUCUUCCUAUAAGGGAAGUUGGGAAAGUUUUUUCGCUAAGGGAUCGGGCUAUAUGGUAUCAGCUUGUUGGUGAGGUAAUGGCUCACCAAGGCUAUGACGCCUAUCUGGUCUGAGAGGAUGAUCAGACACACUGGAACUGAGACACGGUCCAGACUCCUACGGGAGGCAGCAGUGGGGAAUAUUACACAAUGGAGGAAACUCUGAUGUAGCAACGCCGCGUGGAGGAUGACACAUUUCGGUGCGUAAACUCCUUUUAUAUGGGAAGAUAAUGACGGUACCAUAUGAAUAAGCACCGGCUAACUCCGUGCCAGCAGCCGCGGUAAUACGGAGGGUGCAAGCGUUACUCGGAAUCACUGGGCGUAAAGCGCGCGCAGGCGGUCUUUUAAGUUGGAUGUGAAAUCCUAUGGCUCAACCAUAGAACUGCAUCCAAAACUGAAAGACUAGAGUCUGGGAGGGGAAGAUGGAAUUAGUGGUGUAGGGGUAAAAUCCGUAGAGAUCACUAGGAAUACCAAAAGCGAAGGCGAUCUUCUGGAACAGUACUGACGCUGAGGCGCGAAAGCGUGGGGAGCAAACAGGAUUAGAUACCCUGGUAGUCCACGCCCUAAACUAUGAAUGUUAGUCGUCGGGGGGCUUGUCUUCUCGGUGAUGCAGCUAACGCAUUAAACAUUCCGCCUGGGGAGUACGGUCGCAAGAUUAAAACUCAAAGGAAUAGACGGGGACCCGCACAAGUGGUGGAGCAUGUGGUUUAAUUCGAAGAUACGCGAAGAACCUUACCUGGCCUUGACAUUGAUAGAAUCUGCUAGAGAUAGCGGAGUGCCCUUCGGGGAGCUUGAAAACAGGUGCUGCACGGCUGUCGUCAGCUCGUGUCGUGAGAUGUUGGGUUAAGUCCCGCAACGAGCGCAACCCUCGUCACUAGUUACUAACGGUUCGGCCGAGGACUCUAGUGAGACUGCCUUCGUAAGGAGGAGGAAG
rnacentral:rRNA from 1 species